rnacentral:snoRNA from 1 species
UCCCUAUGAAGAAACUUUCACAUGUCUUACUUCCUGUCCUAGCGCCAGAGCCUGAAAAGGUGAACCCACUGGGGCUGGCUGGGGGAAAAGAGGAAGAUUUGUUCCAGAAGGAACUGUCUGAGGGAU